rnacentral:lncRNA from 1 species
AUGACAGGCAUUUCAAGAGAUAAGAGGCAGGCUGCUGCCCACUCAAAAGCAUCAUUCCACCCAUCAGGCAGAGCGCCCAAAUUAAGGAUCGUAGCAAUUACACACAAGCAACAGCAUGGAAAAGAAGCCAGUGCUGCAGAGGUGAUCUGGAUCCAGGAAGAAAGGGAAGAUACCUUCAAUCAAAAAUUUCUGGAGUUACAAAUGCAUUUCAACAAUGAUCAAGUCAUGCUGCAACAGGCACAGAGAACAAAUAACUGCAAGAAGAAAUUGCUGAACUUAGAUCUGAAAUCCCAGCAUUAACAAAAAAGCAAGUGGAGAGGAACCCCUCUGUUGAUGGGCCCACCAGAAAAAAAAAAUCUCAGGAGAAAGAUUUGCGAUGGCUUUUCCCAGAAGAUCUACUUUGAGAAUCACUAUUGGGCCCGCAUGUGAGUGGCCUGGUUCCGAGAAAGGUGAUCAAUUACAUUCCUGGUCCUGAUUUUGUUGUGUGUCCUCCACAGAUGAUGUCAUGUUGUUACUGCUACUCCUCUGGCUAUUUGACCAAUGUCUGUCAGGUUUCUAGAUAACGUGUUUCCAUAGCCUACGCCUUCUGCCUUGGAUGGGUAUAAGUCGGUUGCUAACAUCAAAGUGUCAUAGAGUUGUUGUGUUACAACGUGAGAGACUCCAAAUGGCAAGGGGCCAGUGCUUGAAGUUUUCAGACACUUUCUGUGAUGCUGAGCUGGAAGGAGGGCACAUGUCAUUGCUCCUUCCCACUCAUGACUGGAUUUUAGGUUCUUCCCCAGUAUUCAGAGUGUCAGGGAGAGGGGAGGG